rnacentral:rRNA from 1 species
GACGAACGCUGGCGGCGUGCUUAACACAUGCAAGUCGAACGAAGUGGCGAACGGGUGAGUAACGCGUAAUCAACCUGCCCAUCAGAGGGGGACAACAGUUGGAAACGACUGCUAAUACCGCAUACUGAAGGAGGGGAUUGCGUCUGAUUAGUUAGUUGGAGGGGUAACGGCCAACCAAGGCGAUGAUCAGUAGCUGGUCUGAGAGGAGGAACGGCCACGUUGGGAAUGAGACACUGCCCAGACGCCUACGGGAGGAAGCAGUGGGGAAUCUGCCGCAAUUGACGAAAGUCUGACGGAGCAACGCCGCGUGAGUGAUGACGGCCUUCGGGUUGUAAAGCUCUGUUAAUCGGGACGCGGUACCGAAAUAGAAAGCCACGGGUAACUACGAGCCAGCAGCCGCGGUAAUUC